rnacentral:rRNA from 1 species
UUACAUGUCUAUGCUACCCUGAACAAGCCCGAUCCCGCCUGAUCUCAGAAGCUAAGCAGAGUUGGACCUGGUUAGUACUUGGAUGGGAGACCACCUAGGAAGAGCAGGCGCUGUAGGUG